CCGAAGGCCCCCCGCUCCCGGCCUUCCUCCUCUUCUUCCUCCUCUUCUUCCUCCUCCUCCUCCUUCCCCGCCCCGCGGCCGAGGGCGGGUGUCACGGCCAGGAGGAGCAACGCCUUGCGACCUUGUUUGUCCCUGCGCUGCCCCCAUAGCCGCCCGCCGGGGCAGGCCGCUGCGGGGGGCGGGCGGCGGUUGCCGUAGCGACAUGGCCUAGGCCCGAGGGGCGGCCUGCGCUCGGCCCCGGCGGGCGGGGCGCGGGUCGGCGGCGAGGGCCAGGCCGGGCCGGGCGGGGCGGGGCGAGGCCGGACCGGCGGCAGCAGCGGCGGCGGCUGGAGCAGGUGCGGGCCCGCGCGGCCCGGCGGGGAUGAGCCAUGGCUUCGGUGAAGGUGGCCGUGCGAGUGCGGCCCAUGAACCGCAGGGAGAAAGACCUUAAUGCAAAAUUUAUUAUUUCAAUGGAAAAAAACAAAACGACAAUCACAAACUUAAAGGUACCAGAGGGUGGUACUGGAGAUACAGGACGAGAAAGAACUAAGACAUUUACCUAUGAUUUUUCCUAUUUCUCAGCAGACAGUAAAAGUCCCAGCUUUGUUUGUCAAGAAAUGGUUUUCAAAAAUCUGGGUACGGAUGUGCUUAAAUCUGCUUUUGAAGGUUAUAAUGCUUGUGUUUUUGCAUAUGGCCAGACUGGAUCUGGGAAGUCCUACACCAUGAUGGGAAAUGCGGGUGAUGCUGGUUUAAUACCUCGCAUUUGUGAAGGAUUAUUCAGCAAAAUAAGUGAGAAAACAAAGCGGAAUGAGGCUUCCUUUCGAACAGAAGUCAGUUAUCUGGAAAUUUACAAUGAACGUGUGAGAGAUCUUCUGAGACGGAAGUCAUCAAAAACUAAUAAUUUACGAAUACGAGAACAUCCAAAAGAAGGACCCUAUGUUGAGGAUUUGUCUAAACAUUUAGUGCAAAAUUAUACUGAUGUAGAGGAACUUAUGGACGCAGGAAAUAUAAAUAGAACGACGGCUGCAACUGGAAUGAAUGAUGUCAGUAGCAGGUCACAUGCCAUUUUCACAAUCAACUUCACUCAGGCUAAAUUUGAUUCAGAAAUGCCUUGUGAAACUGUUAGCAAGAUUCAUUUGGUGGAUCUUGCUGGAAGUGAGCGAGCAGAUGCCACUGGUGCCACAGGGGUUAGAUUAAAGGAAGGAGGGAAUAUUAACAAAUCUCUAGUUACUCUGGGAAAUGUAAUUUCUGCCUUAGCUGAUUUAUCUCAGGAUGCAACAAAUCCUCUUUCAAAGAAGAAACAAGUAUUUGUGCCUUACAGGGACUCUGUGUUGACUUGGUUGUUAAAAGAUAGCCUAGGAGGAAACUCUAAAACGAUAAUGAUUGCAACUAUUUCACCCGCUGAUGUCAAUUAUGGAGAAACUUUAAGUACACUUCGCUAUGCAAAUAGAGCCAAAAACAUCAUCAACAAGCCUACUAUUAAUGAGGAUCCUAACGUCAAACUGAUCCGUGAGCUGAGAGCUGAAAUAGCCCGAUUAAAAGCCCUGCUUGCUCAAGGGAAUCAGAUUGCACUCUUGGAUUCUCCAACAGCUUUAAGUAUGGAAGAAAAGCUUCAGCAGAAUGAAGCAAGGGUAAAGGAACUGACCAAAGAGUGGACAAACAAGUGGAACGAGACUCAAGAUAUUCUGAAAGAACAAACCUUGGCUCUAAGGAAAGAAGGGAUAGGUGUUGUGUUAGAUUCUGAACUGCCUCAUCUAAUUGGCAUUGAUGAUGAUCUUCUCAGUACUGGUAUCAUCUUGUACCACUUAAAGGAAGGCCAAACGCAUGUUGGCAGAGAAGAUGCUAUGACCGAACAGGAUAUUGUUCUUCAUGGCCUUGAUUUGGAAAGUGAGCAUUGCAUCUUUGAAAAUCUCGAUGGUACUGUGAAUCUAAUACCGCUGAAUGGGGCGCAGUGUUCUGUGAAUGGUAUUCAGAUUACAGAGGCCACACACCUAAACCAAGGUGCUGUUAUAUUACUUGGAAGAACCAAUAUGUUUCGCUUUAACCACCCCAAAGAAGCUGCUAAGCUAAGGGAGAAAAGAAAGAGUGGACUGCUGUCUUCCUUCAGCUUGUCUAUGACAGAUCUUUCAAAAUCCUGUGAGAACCUGUCAGCAGUUAUGCUUUAUAAUCCAGGUCUUUUCACUGUAAAAGGACCGAUCUGUCUAAGGCUAGAAUUUGAGAGACAACAACGGGAGGAGCUUGAAAAAUUAGAAAGUAAAAGGAAGCAAAUAGAAGAGAUGGAAGAAAAACAAAGAUCUGACAAAGCAGAACUUGUAAGAAUGCAGCAAGAAGUAGAGUCACAGCGCAAAGAGACAGAAAUAGUACAGCUGCAGAUUCGAAAACAGGAAGAGAGUCUGAAACGGAGAAGUGUUCACAUUGAGAGCAGGUUAAAGGAUUUGCUGGCUGAAAAAGAAAAAUUUGAAGAAGAGAGAUUACGAGAACAACAGGAGAUAGAGCUUCAGAAGAAAAAGCAGCAGGAAGAAAUUUUUGCCCGGGUCAAAGAGGAGUUGCAGCGACUACAAGAACUUAAUCAUAAUGAAAAAGCAGAGAAAAUGCAGAUUUUCCGUGAGCUAGAAAGACUUAAAAAGGAAAAAGAUGAACAGUAUAUGAAGCUGGAAUCAGAAAAAAAGAGACUCGAAGAACAAGAAAGGGAGCAGGUGAUGCUGGUGGCUCAUCUAGAAGAACAGCUUCGAGAGAAGCAGGUCAUGAUAGAGCUCUUGAAGAGAGGGGAUGUACAAAGAGUUGAAGAAGAGAAAAGAGAUCUUGAAGAUAUUAGAGAAUCUCUUUUGAAAGUCAAGGAGGCCCGAUCUGAAGGUGAUGAGAAACUUGAAGAAUUAGUAAAAGCACAGCAUGAUUUUGUAGAGUUUAAAAGGAAACAACUGGAACAGUUGACUCUUUUGGAGAAAGAUUUAGUUCAACAAAUGGAUCACCUAGAAAAGGAAAUAGCAGAUGAAAGAAGAGCUCUGGAACACUUAAAUUUUGCACAUGAAGACCAUUUAAAUCUCAUGAGAGAUGAUGAAAACUUUGUGGAUGCUGUACUCAAGGCUGAAGAAGUUGAAAAGAUAAAGACAGCAGAAUACAGGCUCCAAUCUAAAGUGCGCCAGCUUGAGUACCUGAAGAGUAGUCAUUUGCCAGCUCUGCUGGAAGAAAAACAAAGAGCUUCUGAAGUCCUUGAUAGAGGCUUGUUAGGGUUAGAUAAUACUCUCUAUCAAAUAGAGAAAGAAAUAGAAGAAAAAGAAGAGCGGCUUGCCCAGUAUAGAGCUAGCACAAAUCAACUGCAGCAGCUUCAAGAAACCUUUGAAUUUACAGCCAACGUAGCUCGUCAGGAAGAAAAGGUUCGGAAAAAGGAAAAAGAAAUCCUUGAAUCAAGGGAAAAACAGCAGAGAGAGGCACUGGAGCAAGCUGUUGCCAAGUUAGAAAGGAGGCACUCUGCUUUGCAACGUCGUUCGACGAUAGACUUUGAAAUUGAAGAGCAGAAACAGAAGCUUGCCACCUUGAACAACAGCUGCAGUGAACAGGCAGGUCUGCAGGCUAGUCUAGAAGCUGAACAGAAAGCCCUUGAACAAGACCGAGAACGAUCUCUUUAUAGCCUGGACCAGGAAAUCGAGCAGCUGAAGCAAAAAAUAUAUGAGGGUGAUGGUCAGAAAGGAAAUCAUGGCACAUUAGAAGAGAGACUCUCCCAUACCACCUCCCCUACCACUCCAACAAAGCCACAGCCACCCGCUGCGCCGCUAGUUGAUGAUAGGAUAAAUGCCUUUAUUGAGCAAGAAGUGCAGAGAAGGCUCCAGAAUAUUCAUCAUAAAGCUGAGGAUAACGAUGUUAGCCUGUCCUGGUCUACAGAAAGUUUAAAGGAUAAUGAGAGGCUUAAUAAUGGCACUCUUCAACGCAAGCUGAAGUAUGAGUGAUUUUGGUUUUCCUUUGUUCUCCCUAUUUGGUAUGCACAUGAAAGCGGAUGGUCUGUCGUUCACUGGGAGCAAAUCCAGACGACCUAAAGGACCCAAUUAAAAUUAGUAUUCCACGCUAUGUCCUGUGUGGGCAGGGAAAGGAUGAACACUAUGAGUUUGAAAUAAAGAUAACAGUCCUGGAUGAGACAUGGACAGUAUUCAGGCGGUACAGUCGUUUUCGAGAAAUGCAUAAAACUUUAAAGCUGAAGUACCCAGAGCUUGCCACUUUAGAAUUCCCCCCAAAGAAGCUCUUUGGAAACAAAGAUGAACGAGUGAUUGCAGAACGACGGAGUCACUUAGAGCAAUACCUCAGGAGCUUUUUCUCUGCAAUGCUGAACUCUCCAUCGUCUCCACUGCACAUUGAUAAAGUGGGUCUAACUCUGUCGAAAUACACCAUCUGCGAAUUCUCACCCUUCUUCAGGAAAGGUGUUUUUGACUAUAGCAGCCACGGGACCAGCUGACUUUUGGGCCAGCUAACUUUAUGCCAGAGGAGCACAGUUGGAGUGGUGCCUUCACUUUUGCCAUGCAAGAGAAACGAGGGGAAGAAGAAAAGGUUAUCUUCCUCCAUACCUGUAAAGUUGCAUCAGAACAACUCCAGUUAAAGACAUCUACACCCCAGCCUGUGUCCUUUACCAGCUCACAUAUCAGUGCCUGCAUUUUCCUGGCGUGGGGUAUACAGACUUUUUGUGUAAGUUGCUCUGUUAAUACUGUGUUCUCUUGCUGAGUUUGGAUCCGUUCCUUAGCAGGAGUGCUUCCUUCCCAUUUGCUCAGACAAUUUGUUCUGAUGGAGCGAGAGCAUCUCGAGUUUACCAUGGUGGUGUGUCAUGCUGACAGAGGGUUUCUGAGCAGCCUUUUGGUUUCUGUCCAAGCUGUUUCUUAAAGAACACUUCCUCUUCUGUUGCCUUACAGCAUACUGUCAUGUUGGAGGUAAUGCUCAUACUCCACUGAUAUUUCUUUUUUCCCUCCCAGACAUGUAUUUUAACUAUUUGACUGUAUAAUUGUAUAAUUAAAGGGCCUGGGUAACUUGAAUGUUUACAAAAAUAUAUGCAGCAGAAAGAAUAUGAUUUAAACCCUGUAAAAGUCUUCCACACUUGGUUGUUUUGGAGCAGAACGAAUCACUUGCCAUUAAUUAAGAAGCAGAGGAAGCAAUAGUUACCGAAGAAUGCGGUCAGCAUCUUUUCAGAUUUUCUAAUUACCCAGACUGUAAGAAAAUACUGUGCACUGUACAGAGCUCAGACCUAUGCAUAAAGCUAAUGCAAAGUGCUAUAUUUCUUUUUUUUUCCUGAAAAAUAGCAUCUUCACAAUAGCAUAACACUGUAAAACCUGAAUUUUAUUUGCAUUGGUUUGAAAUUUACAGAAUUUGAUGAACAGUGCUUUAAAAUUACUCAGGACUCAUUCAGACUUGCACUUGUAUAUACAGAUAAAGCUCAUUUUAUAUUGCUGCAGAUCCGAAUAUAUACAUAUAUAUACACUGUGACUUGCACUGAAUAUGUGUACAUGUUCAUAUAUAAUUGGUUAUAUAAAAAUCAGAAUCAAACUACUUCCAGUUAUUAAAACACAUAAUGAAAGGUAAGUUUUGUGUGAUGUUUGUUAGGCGUAUGAAGCAUUAUUUGUGAGUUGCCAUCAUUGACUACCGGCAGGUCUUGGUAAUCAAACUAUUUCAUGUUGUAGAAAGUGAUCAUUAAAAUCUAAAGUAACAACA